rnacentral:pre_miRNA from 2 species
AACACCCGAGUGAGCGGCUGAGGAUUAAAAUACAUACCGAGCCCUUACGAGGGUGUUCG